AUGAUAGUUUUGGCAAUUAGGUUGCAGAGGUACUAUCUAGCAUCGGUCAAGGAAUUAAUGCGGAUCAAUGGUACUACAAAGUCCGCCCUAGCGAGUCACUUAGGUGAAUCGAUUGCAGGGGAUAUAACGAUAAGGGCCUUUGAGGGAGAAGAUCGUUUCUUUGCUAAAAAUUUGGAUCUUGUUGACAAGAAUGCUAGCCCAUAUUUCUGUAAUUUUGCAGCAACUGAAUGGUUGAUUCAAUGUAUAGAAAUAAUGAGCGCCAUAGUUCUUUCUUCUUCUGCCUUUGUCAUGGCUCUUCUUCCUCAAGAAACUUUUAGCCCUGGUUUUGUGGGAAUGGCAUUGUCCUAUGGUCUUUCGCUAACUACAUCAUUUGUUUUCUUUACUCAAAGCCAGUGCAACCUUGGGAAUCAAAUAAUCUUGGUGGAACGGGUGAGCCAAUACAUGGACAUACCAAGUGAAGCAGCAAAAGUCAUUGAAGACAAUCGACCAUUACCAGAUUGGCCCCAAAAUGGCAAUGUGGACAUUAGGCAUUUGAAGAUCAGGUAUAGGAUAGAUGCUCCCCUUGUACUACAUGGAAUCACUUGCAAUUUUGAAGGUGGAGAUAAGAUUGGUAUAGUUGGUCGAACAGGAAGUGGCAAGACAAUGUUAAUUGGUGCAAUGUUUCGCCUUGUUGAACCUGAUGAAGGGAAAAUAAUCAUAGACUCUGUGGAUAUCAGUACGAUAGGCUUACAUGAUCUGCGGUUGCGUUUGGGUAUCAUUCCACAAGACAACACUUUUUCAGGGUACAAUAAGAUACAAUCUAGAUCCUCUUGGGCAUUUCUCAGGUGA
rnacentral:rRNA from 1 species